ACGAUGGCUCGCUCAAUCUCCCUUCUAUCUCUCCCUCGUCCUCGUGCUCAAUCCAUCGCUACCGCCACUUUCACCCUCCACCAUCGCUUCCUCUUCAACAGAAUCAAAGGUUCCAAGCCACACACCUUGCUUCCCCAUUGUACGACGAUAGCGGAUCUCUUUUCAGAUCCCGGAUCUUCUCCGGUGACAUCUCCUCCGGCGACGACCUCCUUUGGCCACAUCUCUUCCCAUGGUAAUCUCCUCCGGUGAUGUCACCUCCAACUUCCUCUCCUUUCCAUCCUAGCUCUGCGCCUUCUUUGCCAAAAUCCUCAGCGCCUCCCUCAGCGUCUUCUUCGAUGACAUCUCUCUAUUGAAGAUCUGUAAAUCCAAGCCAUCACAAACAGAACAAGCACAACUCUCCCCUGCUUCCUCUGUUUUUCUUUGGCAGAAAAUUUAUGGGAGAAAGCCCUGGUGAGUGAAGCAUCAAUUUUCUUAUUAAUUUGUUAUUCUUUGGUUCAUUUAUGGCAACACUAACUCACACAACCUGCUCGAUGAAAUGCUUCAACUAAAUUCUGCCCUUAUCAAUGCUUUUAUGACAGAACUGGAACCUGAUUCUCCGGUUAUCCAGGUGAUAAAUAUGAUCUUCUUAAGAGGUUAUUUUGGUUAUUUAAAAGUUUACUUUAUGUUAUCAACUAAUGUUUUUUCCAUUGCAGUGUGAUUAUGAUCAUCUUCAGUUGUCAACUAGUUCAUAAUGGAGAAUAAAUUUUCCAUUGGGAUUUCCUUAUUUGUCAUGCUUAAGAAACAUGUUUAAUGUAUGAAAACUUAUUCUAUUGAUUUUCAGAGAGAACUGCGGUGAAAAGAUGGAUGAAUUUCUUAAGAGAUGCUUCUACCAUUCUGGUCAGUAUGACUCUCAGGAAAACUUUGCAGCACUGGACAAGAAGCUUAAGGAA